rnacentral:rRNA from 1 species
CCUACGGGAGGCAGCAGUAGGGAAUCUUCGGCAAUGGGGGGAACCCUGACCGAGCAACGCCGCGUGAGUGAAGAAGGUUUUCGGAUCGUAAAGCUCUGUUGUAAGAGAAGAACGUUAGUGUGAGUGGAAAGUACACUAAGUGACGGUAUCUUACCAGAAAGGGACGGCUAACUACGUGCCAGCAGCCGCGGUAAUACGUAGGUCCCGAGCGUUGUCCGGAUUUAUUGGGCGUAAAGCGAGCGCAGGCGGUUAGAUAAGUCUGAAGUAAAAGGCUGUGGCUUAACCAUAGUAUGCUUUGGAAACUGUUUAACUUGAGUGCAGAAGGGGAGAGUGGAAUUCCAUGUGUAGCGGUGAAAUGCGUAGAUAUAUGGAGGAACACCGGUGGCGAAAGCGGCUCUCUGGUCUGUAACUGACGCUGAGGCUCGAAAGCGUGGGUA